rnacentral:rRNA from 1 species
AUUGCCUUAGUAACGGCGAGUGAAGCGGCAACAGCUCAAAUUUGAAAUCUGGCCCCAGGCCCGAGUUGUAAUUUGCAGAGGAUGCUUUUGGCGCGGUGCCUUCCGAGUUCCCUGGAACGGGACGCCAUAGAGGGUGAGAGCCCCGUCUGGUUGGAUACCAAGCCUUUGUAAAGCUCCUUCGACGAGUCGAGUAGUUUGGGAAUGCUGCUCUAAAUGGGAGGUAUAUGUCUUCUAAAGCUAAAUACCGGCCAGAGACCGAUAGCGCACAAGUAGAGUGAUCGAAAGAUGAAAAGCACUUUGGAAAGAGAGUUAAACAGCACGUGAAAUUGUUAAAAGGGAAGCGUUUAUGACCAGACUUGGGCCGGUUAAUCAUCCAGCGUUCUCGCUGGUGCACUUUGCCGGUCCAGGCCAGCAUCAGUUCGCUGCGGGGGAUAAAGGCGUCGGGAAUGUGGCUCCUCUGGAGUGUUAUAGCCCUUCGCGCAAUACCCUGCGGUGGACUGAGGUUCGCGCAUCUGCAAGGAUGCUGGCGUAAUGGUCAUCAACGACCCGUCUUGAAACACGGACCAAGGAGUCGUCUUCGUAUGCGAGUGUUCGGGUGUAAAACCCCUACGCGUAAUGAAAGUGAACGCAGGUGAGAGCUUCGGCGCAUCAUCGACCGAUCCUGAUGUUCUCGGAUGGAUUUGAGUAAGAGCAUACGGGGCCGGACCCGAAAGAAGGUGAACUAUGCCUGUAUAGGGUGAAGCCAGAGGAAACUCUGCUGGAGGCUCGCAGCGGUUCUGACGUGCAAAUCGAUCGUCAAAUAUGGGCAUGGGCGCGAAAGACUAAU